ACCACGUGCCAACUUCCCACUGUCCCAACAUUCCGGAAGUAGAAGGGAGAGGGAUUGGCAUUUCUAGCACGACAGAAGAGAUCACUUAUCGGUCGACGAGUCCGGCUGCUGUCAAGAAGAGAUCGAUGCAACUGCUGCAGCGAUUGAAGUGUGUGCAUGAUGAACUGACUCACGAGCGACUACGUAACGAUCUGUCAGCAAAACUUGCAAGGAUCACUGCGACAUGGUCAACUGCAGAAGUGGAUAUAUCAUCGAAGACUUGCCAAUCGACCAGUUUUGGAACGGCUUCGAAGAUCUUUCUGCUCGAAUGGUCGACGAUCAAGGCGAUUCCAUGUUACUCUGUUACUCAAGCUGAAGAUUUGAAGAUUUUAUGGAAAACAUUCCUUUGCCGGAAUACACACGACGAGACUGUCGGCUAAAUCUUGCAGCCAGACUUCCAGAUCGAAUUGUGAAGCCUGACUUAGGUCCUAAGAUGUACAAUGCAUUUGCUCGGCAGCGUGCCCGAAGGAAGGAACGACCAAUCUACAUCUCGACAUGUCUGAUGCAGUGAAUGUCAUGGUGUACGUGUACGUCGGCAUCCCAUGCUCAAGUGAGUCAUCAGUCGACGAGUUUGGAUGCUGUCAAGAAGAUCAAUGCAGCUGCUGCAGCGAUUGAGAAGUUCGACGAACUGACUCACGAACGACUAAGGAACGAUCUGUCAGCAAAAGUGUUAAGUAGCUGCUUUUCUCACUACAGAGUGUCAGACAGGGUGUAUGUUCUAAAUUCGAUUACAA